GGGAGCUGUCAGAGAGAUCCAAAGGGUGCUGCCGAAACUAAACUGGGUAUAUCUGUAAAUCACAUCAAACAUCAAGGUAGAGGGAAGCAAGACGGUAAUGGACAAUACGCCAAGACAACGGAGCUGUUAGACAAACAGACAGACAGUCAAACAGAAAGACAGACAGACAGAAGACAACUGGUGGCUGGCUAUAUGAGGACAAACUUUGGCAGACAAAGGAUGCUUCCAUUACUGGUUAUAGCUUUGCUGGGGUUCCCCACGGCAACAGGUUUCUAUACACUUCUAUAGCCUAUUCAAAUGAUCUGAACAUUUUAUAUAUAAAAGUAACUGGGUAAAGUGAAGAAUAUCAGUGUAUUUUUGUCUUAGGUUUGCAGGAAUGAUAUUGAAGAACAUUUGCAAGUAGAGUCAAGUUGUAUUCUUGCAGUGAUUAUUG
rnacentral:lncRNA from 13 species